rnacentral:rRNA from 1 species
AGAAUCAACGCUGGCGGCGUGCCUAACACAUGCAAGUCGAACGAGAAAGUGGUAGCAAUACCAUGAGUAAAGUGGCGCACGGGUGAGUAACACGUGACUAACCUACCCUGGAGUGGGGGAUAACUGGGAGAAAUCCUAGCUAAUACCGCAUAAUACCUACGGGUCAAAGGAGCAAUUCGCUUCAGGAGGGGGUCGCGGCCGAUUAGUUAGUUGGCGGGGUAAUGGCCCACCAAGACGAUGAUCGGUAUCCGGCCUGAGAGGGCGCACGGACACACUGGAACUGAAACACGGUCCAGACUCCUACGGGAGGCAGCAGUGGGAAUUUUGCGCAAUGGGGGAAACCCUGACGCAGCAACGCCGCGUGGAGGAUGAAGUCCUUCGGGACGUAAACUCCUUUCGAUCGGGACGAUUAUGACGGUACCGGAAGAAGAAGCCCCGGCUAACUUCGUGCCAGCAGCCGC